GAUGAACGCUGGCGGCGUGCCUAAUACAUGCAAGUAGAACGCUGAAGCUUGGUGCUUGCACCGAGCGGAUGAGUUGCGAACGGGUGAGUAACGCGUAGGUAACCUGCCUCUUAGCGGGGGAUAACUAUUGGAAACGAUAGCUAAUACCGCAUAAAAGUCGACAUCGCAUGAUGUUGACUUGAAAGGUGCAAUUGCAUCACUAAGAGAUGGACCUGCGUUGUAUUAGCUAGUUGGUGAGGUAACGGCUCACCAAGGCGACGAUACAUAGCCGACCUGAGAGGGUGGUCGGCCACACUGGGACUGAGACACGGCCCAGACUCCUACGGGAGGCAGCAGUAGGGAAUCUUCGGCAAUGGGGGCAACCCUGACCGAGCAACGCCGCGGGAGUGAAGAAGGUUUUCGGAUCGUAAAGCUCUGUUGUAAGAGAAGAACGAGUGUGAGAGUGGAAAGUUCACACUGUGACGGUAACUUACCAGAAAGGGACGGCUAACUACGUG
rnacentral:rRNA from 1 species